rnacentral:rRNA from 1 species
GACGUGAAAGACUAGUGUUAUUCAUCUUUAAUAGGUUUAAAGGGUACCUAGACGGUAUUUCUAGCCCAAAAAGGGUACGGAUUUACUAGAGUUUUAUGUAAGAAGAGGAGUAUUUUUUGGUGUAGAGAUGAAAUUUUUUUGAUACCUUAAGGACUGAUAAAAGGCGAAAAGCAAUCUUCUAUGUAAAAAAACUGACGUUUGAGGGGACGAAAGGCCCCGGGGUAACAAGCAGGGAUUAGAAAACCCCUU